AGCAGCCGCGGUAAUUCCAGCUCCAAUAGCGUAUAUUAAAGUUGUUGCAGUUAAAAAGCUCGUAGUUGAAUUUCGGGGUUAGUAGGUUGGUCAUGCCUCCGGUAUGUACUGGUCUCACUGAUUCCUCCUUCCUGAUGAACCGUAAUGCCAUUAAUUUGGUGUUGCGGGGAAUUUGGACUGUUACUUUGAAAAAUUAGAGUGUUUAAAGCAAGCUAACGCUUGAAUACAUUAGCAUGGAAUAAUGAAAUAGGACGUUCGAUCCUAUUUUGUCGGUUUCUAGGAUUGACGUAAUGAUUAAUAGGGAUAGUUGGGGGCAUUAGUAUUCAAUUGUCAGAGGUGAAAUUCUUGGAUUUAUUGAAGACUAACUACUGCGAAAGCAUUUGCCAAGGAUGUUUUCAUUAAUCAAGAACGAAAGUUAGGGGAUCGAAGACGAUCAGAUACCGUCGUAGUCUUAACCAUAAACUAUGCCGACUAGGGAUCGGAUGAUGUAAUUUUUUAAUGACUCAUUCGGCGCCUUACG
rnacentral:rRNA from 1 species